GAGGCAGCAGUGGGAUAUUUUGGACAAUGGGCGAAAGCGUGAUCCACCAAUGCCGCGUGCAGGAAGAAGGCCCUCGGGUUGUAAACUGUUUUUGUACGGAACGAAAAGCCUGGGGCCAAUACCCCCGGGUCAUGACGGUACCGUAAGAAUAAGCACCGGCUAAUUACGUCCCAGCAGCCGCGGUAAUACGUAGGGUGCAAGCGUUAAUCGGAAUUACUGGGCGUAAAGCGUGCGCAGGGGGUUUUGUAAGACAUUGGUGAAAUCCCCGGGCUCAACCUGGGAACUGCCAUUGUGACUGCAAGGCUAGAGUGCGGCAGAGGGGGAUGGAAUUCCGCGUGUAGCAGUGAAAUGCGUAGAUAUGCGGAGGAACACCGAUGGCGAAGGCAAUCCCCUGGGCCUGCACUGACGCUCAUGCACGAAAGCGUGGGGAGCAAACAGGAUUAGAUACCCUGGUAGUCCACGCCCUAAACGAUGUCAACUGGUUGUUGGGUCUUAACUGACUCAGUAACGCAGCUAACGC
rnacentral:rRNA from 1 species